UGUGUCAGCACAGCACCAUGGACGUAUUAUGGUGCACUGAAAUUCAGAUAUCAUUCAAACAGCCGCUGUAACUUAUUGAUUAUGGCUUUUAGGGAUCCUGCACCAAGAUUUAACAUCUAAGUAGAUGAUAAAAGAGGAGGUGGAGAGCAGCCCUGAACCUGAAGAUGAGGCGUCUGUCACGGAGGAAAGCCCUGACCUUGGUAAGGGAGCUGGACGCCUUCCCUAAAGUGUCAGACAGCUACGUAGAGACCUCAGCCUCAGGAGGAACAGUGUCGCUGAUCGCUUUUGCUGCCAUGGCUCUUCUGGCUAUCUUAGAGUUCUUUGUUUAUAGAGACACUUGGAUGAAGUAUGAAUAUGAAGUCGACAAGGAUUUUUCCAGUAAAUUGAGAAUAAACAUCGACAUUACAGUUGCCAUGAAAUGCCAGCAUGUUGGAGCAGAUAUUCUGGACCUGGCUGAGACCAUGAUCACAUCGAGCGGCCUCCAGUACGAGCCUGUUAUUUUUGAACUGACUCCACAACAGAGACUGUGGCAAAGGACGUUGCUUCUCAUACAGAACAGGCUGAGAGAGGAACAUGCUCUUCAGGAAGUCCUUUACAAAAGUCUCCUCAAAGGAGGUCCCACUGCGCUGCCCCCACGGGAGGAUGCCUCUAUGGAGCCGCUCGAUGCUUGCAGGAUACACGGGCACGUCUACGUCAACAAGGUGGCAGGAAACCUACACAUCACUGUGGGAAAGCCCAUUCACCAUCCUCAGGGUCACGCACACAUUGCAGCUUUUGUCAGCCACAAUACGUACAACUUCUCCCAUCGAAUAGACCAUUUAUCUUUUGGGGAGGCGAUACCGGGUAUCAUCAAUCCUCUGGAUGGCACAGAGAAAAUCACCUACAACCAUAACCAGAUGUUCCAGUAUUUCAUCACAGUGGUUCCAACCAGACUGAACACAUACAAGAUAUCUGCAGACACGCACCAGUUUUCUGUGACUGAGCGGGAGCGAGUGAUAAACCAUGCAGCAGGCAGUCACGGCGUGUCCGGCGUCUUCAUCAAGUACGACACCAGCUCUCUGAUGGUGACGGUCAGCGAGCAGCACAUGCCACUGUGGCAGUUCCUGGUGCGACUGUGCGGCAUCAUCGGGGGAAUAUUCUCCACGACAGGCAUGCUCCACGGGCUUGUUGGCUUCUGUUUCGAUGUUAUCUGCUGUCGCCUCAAACGUGGAGUCUACAGACCCAGAGAUGAUGUGCAGCUACACAACCAGACGAACAAUCUGAACAAUCACCAGACUCCUCUGGUGGCGGACGAUGUCCCUCAGGAGUAGCAGUUUUUCAGUCACCAGCCUUUUCAUCGUCAGCACGUCAUGUGUUUUUCUACUGAAGGCCUCGAUCGACUGCAGACAUCGUUCAUUAUCCCCUUCUGAAAUUAAGAGGACAGGGAGAAUAAAUACACCAGACGUUAGCUUUGCAUAAACAUUUAUUAAGUCGUGUCCCUUUUUCUCCCAUAUAGGCUCGUGACUGUUACGUAUUUGUAUUCUGUCAAGAGCCACACACAACACUGUACACAGUUCCCUCAUUUGUUUAGUACAAAUCUGACUUGCCGGUCACAUUUAACACUUUUGGUAGACUCUGUGGGAAGCUCUGUGGUGGAAUCCUGUGAAGACACUCACCAAGCAAACAUCAACAGUCGGAUACAAUUUUUGGUGGUCUAUAAGAAUAAUAUGUAAUUCAACUAUUUACAGGCCUUCCAAACUGGGAUUCAAUACCAGGAGGGCCCGAAACCCCUCCUUUAAAACCUAGCACUUUUGUGAUUUAGGUCCAGACUGACAUGUCGGUCAG